AACGAACGCUGGCGGCGUGGAUAAGACAUGCAAGUCGAACGCUAAUUUUUCAGUAGCAAUAUUGGAAAGUUGGAGUGGCGCAAGGGUGCGUAACACGUGGGUAAUCUACCGCGAAGACCGGAAUAACCUGCUGAAAAGUGGGCUAAUGCCGGAUGUGGUUUACGGGGGGCAUCUCCUGAAUCCUGAAGUUGGGGACCGAAAGGCCUAACACUUUGCGAUGAGCCCGCGGCCUAUCAGCUAGUUGGUGAGGUAAAGGCUCACCAAGGCUAAGACGGGUAGCUGGUCUGAGAGGACGACCAGCCACACUGGAACUGAGACACGGUCCAGACACCUACGGGUGGCAGCAGUCGAGAAUUUUUCACAAUGGGGGAAACCCUGAUGGAGCGACGCCGCGUGGGGGAUGAAGGGCUUCGGCUCGUAAACCCCUGUCAUUCGCGAAUAAUUGCCGCGUUUCUAACACAACUCGGUUUGAUAGUAGCGGAAGAGGAAGGGACGGCUAACUCUGUGCCAGCAGCCGCGGUAAU
rnacentral:rRNA from 1 species